ensembl:lncRNA
GUUGGGUUAAUCAACUGUGAGUAUGUUCACUCUGGGUUGAGGGCGUGCCUGUUGAAUAUGAAGAGCCAUCAUAAAUGGAUCUCUGAUAACAUGAUCAAACAUGGACCAAAAGCGUAGAUCCACUUACUUUUCCCCACGGAAUUGGAAAUUCUAAUGAACGCGCUCCAGCGGCAGCGAGAGCGUGAGAGAGAGCUCAGCAUGAAAUAGCUGAACAAGUCAAUGCGUGAGUAAAAUAAAUUAGUAAAAUAAAAUAAAAAUAAGAGGAAAGUAUAACAUCUUCCACUUAUUCAAUAUGUAAUUUGUGUGUGUGUGUGAGUGAGUGAGUGAGUGAGUGAGUGUGUCAAUUUACGCAGGAACAACCCGAGUUGCCCCAAGAGGACUUGGCAGCAAAUGAAGAUGAAGUACAAAAAUAUAGUUCAAACAGCAAAUCGAAAAAAAGCAGAGCCCCGGCAGACUGGAGGGGUCCACCUCUGCAGCCCUCACAGAGGCUGAGGAGAUGGCCCUCAGCCAACAGAGUAUGGGUCCUGUGGCUGAGGGCAUCCCUGGGGGGAGCUCCUCUGAUCCCCCACCCCCAGGAUAGAAGUGCCUUUAUAAGAGGAAGAUGAUGGAGAAAAAUUGUCUGCGGCAUUCGAAAGGGAAGAGAAAAGGCCUAUUGAGGGUGAAAUCUAAUCCAAUGAGAGGCCAUCCACUUCUAAAUCACAGCUUACCUCUGUUAGAUUCUCCCUGGAAUUAUAAUGAAACGCUCUACUUGGCACUGUGAAAUCCAAUGUCAUCUUUUGCAUUCCUAUAGCUUCCAGUCAGAAACUUAUAUAAAAUCUAUCUAGAAAAGCAAAUACACAAAGCAGACUUGGAAAUGGACCACCUUAGGCAAAAGACGCAAAAGGAUGCUUUGGAGUGUGUGUGUGUUAAAGUUAAAGGUGGGUGAGGUGCAAACUGGGAUACUGUUCCCUGCUCUAAAAACAUACCCGAUAUGAAUGACUUUUUUUGUGCUUUCAGG